CAAAGAAGGUAAUAAUCCUGUAGUCGAAAAUGUUGUCUCUCUUGAGUGGAUCCUGAGUACGACGGAGCACGUGAAAUUCCGUCGGAAUCUGGGAGGACCAUCUCCUAAGGCUAAAUACUCUCUAGUGACCGAUAGUGAACCAGUACCGUGAGGGAAAGGUGAAAAGCACCCCGGAAGGGGAGUGAAAUAGAACCUGAAACCGUGUGCUUACAAGUAGUCAGAGCCCGUUAAUGGGUGAUGGCGUGCCUUUUGUAGAAUGAACCGGCGAGUUACGAUUUGAUGCAAGGUUAAGCAGUAAAUGUGGAGCCGUAGCGAAAGCGAGUCUGAAUAGGGCGUUUAGUAUUUGGUCGUAGACCCGAAACCAGGUGAUCUACCCUUGGUCAGGUUGAAGUUCAGGUAACACUGAAUGGAGGACCGAACCGACUUACGUUGAAAAGUGAGCGGAUGAACUGAGGGUAGCG
rnacentral:rRNA from 1 species